CCUACGGGUGGCAGCAGUGGGGAAUAUUGCACAAUGGGGGAAACCCUGAUGCAGCGACGCCGCGUGAGUGAAGAAGCAUCUCGGCACGUAAAGCCCUAUCAGCAGGGAAGAAAAUGACGGUACCUGACGAAGAAGCCCCGGCUAACUACGUGCCAGCAGCCGCGGUAAUACGUAGGGGGCAAGCGUUAUCCGGAUUUACUGGGUGUAAAGGGGGCGUAGACGGCCAUGCAAGCCAGGAGUGAAAGCCCAGGGCUCAACCCUGGGACUGCUCUUGAAACUGCCGGGCUAGAGUGCAGGAGGGGUAGGCGGAAUUCCUGGUGUAGCGGUGAAAUGCGUAGAUAUUAGGAGGAACACCAGUGGCGAAGGCGGCUUACUGGACUGUAACUGACGUUGAGGCUCGAAAGCGUGGGGAGCAAACAGGAUUAGAUACCCGAGUAGUC
rnacentral:rRNA from 1 species